UACGUAGGGGGCAAGCGUUGUCCGGAUUUAUUGGGCGUAAAGAGCGUGUAGGCGGCCUGAAAGGUCAGCUGUGAAAACUCGAGGCUCAACCUCGAGACGUCGGUUGAAACCAUCUGGCUAGAGUCCGGAAGAGGAGUGUGGAAUUCCCGGUGUAGCGGUGAAAUGCGCAGAUAUCGGGAAGAACACCCGUGGCGAAGGCGGCACUCUGGGACGGUAC
rnacentral:rRNA from 1 species